rnacentral:misc_RNA from 1 species
AAUCUUAGGACCAUCCUUUUUGAUUAAUGACUAGAAUUUUGAUCUUGAACUUCGUCCGCUUGUCGAUAUUUAUAAAUAUUGAUAUCUGUUUGUUACUCGUUCCUUAUUCGAUUUUGUAUUUCUAUCGCCAUUCUUAGUUAAUGACGUCAAUUUAGUUACUAAUUAAUAGUUAUUUGAAAGUAGUUAAUUUUUUUUUUCGAAAUAUCUCCCCAAUUGAGCACAUCUAUAUAUUCCUUGGUGAAACGCUGAACCCCUUUUUCAAGCCCAAAUGUUGAUUCAGAUAUUAAUAUUUUAACAAAACUGAAUCAACACAUCUCAAGGAUUCUAGCAUAAUAAUUAUCGGCACAAAUUGAAACAUAAUAAUCUAGAGGUUUAUAGAGUUUUUAAAGAUUUUUCCCCAUUUUAUAUAUUUUCCUAUGUUGAAUAUUAACCCUUCCUGUGCGGCCCCGAGCAUUUGUACGGGAUCCUGAUUUGAACAGUUUAGAUUCUAAACUAUAUCAUGAUGUUUCUCUAGUAAUGUCACAAAUUGUAAUAUUGCAGUUUUUUAGAACAAUUUUAAAGAAGUGUCCCUAUAUGCAUGCACUACACAACUUUGAAUCCCUCUUGACGCCCCAUUGCCAGUUUUUGGAUAUGGGUAAUAGUUUGAAGAUUUUAGAAUAUACAUUUUACUUUAAAGCUUUAUCUUAAAUAUUGGCGAUUGUACCUAUUAAUACAUCCUUUUCCCACAUUCUUGUUGUUAUCUCCUCUAUGAAAAAGGAACUUUAUUAAGGAACUUAAAUCCCUAUCUCCCUUAUGUACCAAAUUUUGUUAAAUUUUUCAUAGCGGUUUUUGAGAAGUCAAAAAUACAUGUAAGAAGAGUUUACAAAAUAACUGACAAACGGAUGAACAACGAGAGAAUUUUGAUCAGAACCUUUGGUUAAGGUAAGCUAAAAAGUCAUUAAGUAUUCUACAAAAGAUUCACAAUGAAAAUGAAUUUCAACACAUAAAGUGACAAUAUACCCUUCCAUUUUUUAUUGAAAAGCCUGUAAUUCUUUAUGCAAUUAAACAUUUAUUACAAACAUUUAUUCAAAUGGUGUAAAUUAUUGGGCGAUGUUGCGUAUGAAUUAUGUACCUGUUUGUGAGCGUGUUUGUACUUAUAUGUUUUCUUUAUUAUUCUUAAAAUAAACGAACCAAUGUAACU